CUCAAACUUGGGUAAUUAAACC
rnacentral:misc_RNA from 1 species